AUACAAAAACAUAUAUUCCAAAUGUACAAUUAAAAAAUGAAACUACUAUAAACAAUCCGGAAAAGAUAAUAUAAUUUCGUCGGAGCCUCAAACUAAAGGUGGGGGUGUUAUAAAGAAUAUGUAUUAAUUGAGUUUUCCAAAGAAUUGUUUGUCCAAGUGCAUUUUCGCUAACGAAAAUGCAACAGUUAAUAAAAUGUACCAUUAAUUCCACUAACGAAAAUGCAACAGUUAAACAAGACACAUUUCCUAAGAAUUUUUACGCAAGCAUUUAUUUUUAAGUUAUUGCAAGCAAGCAAAAUAUUAGUAUUUAAGAAAGCACAAAAUAAAACGGAAUGCUGAUUAUCGAGUAUAUCUUCAACCCAGUUGUUUAAUUUUUCGUUGUUCAUCACUUCGGUGAAAAAAGUCUACAGCUCUCGCAUGUGUUUGUUGUUUUUUUCUUUUUUGCUAUUUUCUGUCCUUUAUGUACAUAAAUAAAAAAAGUCAUAUUAGUUACACCACUUAUAACUCAGGAACAGCGGAACCGAUUUGGCUGAAAAUUGGUGGGGAGGUAGCUUAGAAGCAGGGUAAGGACAUAGGAUACUUUUUAUCUCUUUAUGUUAAAGUUCAAUACAACUAAUAAAUACAAAAAUUAUAUUUCAAAUCAUAAGCGUUGGUUCAAAAUUCAUGUAAGAAUCAUUUGAAAAUUUUAGUAAUUAAAAAAAAGAAAGAAAAAAGUAAAAAAUUUAGUAUAUGGGUUAAACUGAUUUUGUUUCUGAACGAAAAAAUUAAUUGGGUUGCGCGAAUUACUGAGAACGUGCCUGUGUAUAAGCGAAUUUAAAAGAUGCCGUUUAAGAAAACGUACGUUCGCGAUAAUGGUUUUAGUACAAUAGAAUUCUUUAUUACCAGAAUUUCAUGGUUUAGCCUAAAACUUAACCUAACAUCUUCAACUAGGGGUAAGUAUGUAUAUAAAAAAGGGAAAAGUAUAUGUAGUUAAAAUUAAUCUCGAAAAUUCAUAGUAAUUGGGUAUUGUAAUAUAUUUGUAAUAAUAUGAAAAUAGUAAAUAUUUUACAUAAUAUAAAAAACAUUUUACACAUAAUUUAUUCAAUUAUUAUCUAAUUCACUUUAUUAAUUUAUUUCUUAAAAUAUUUGAUUUUAGAUUUAUAAAGUCACUUGACGCAACAAGUGCCAAAAUAAUUUGCAUUCAAAUAUUAAGACAGAAAAUAGCAAAAAAGAAAAAACAACAAACACAUGCGGAGCGGUAGCAAAUAAAAACUUUUAUUAGCUCUGCUCUACUACCGCUCCCAAUUUUUUGCUACCGCUACGCCGCAGAGCACAGCAAUUCACUUUUUUUCUCUCGCUUCAACUGUAGUUUUUUACCUAACAAAACUCGGAGAAGAGCAGAGCACAUACUUUAAUGAUACAUAUUAUGCUACGGCUCUGCUGUGGCUCCCAACAAAGAGAGGUCGGUAGCGAUAGCGAUAGCAAAAUGAAAUGCUACGGGAGUAGCGUAGUUUUUCAAACGCUGGAUAUGACAGAUUGAAAUGAAACUUCACAUACGUUCAUAUGAAGAGUGAGGCAACAAAACAAGAAAUGUUGGGCUAGUAGCAACGAUCUAAGAAGUAGUAAUAAGAAGGACUGCAUACAACAAUUGAGAAAAGAAAUAUUUGAAGAUAUAAAUAAAACAUAUAGCACAGAAUUACAAUUAGCCACAAAACAAAUCAGUUGUUGUCUUUAGUUAACCAUUAAUAAGCUAUUUUAGUUUGAAUUUUCGUAUUUUUUUUUUUGCUUGAAAAGAAGAAUUAUAGGUCUUUAUUACAUAUUCAUAUUUUAGUUGCACAACUGAAAAUUAAGAGAAAAACAACACUUGUUUUAUUCCUUAAGUAUUAUCCAAUCAAAUUUAUAUAUGACAGUUAAGUUU